GUCGUUGAUGGAGCUGUAACGACCAAACAAGUCUCGCUGUAAUAACUCUUUCUACAACGUAUUCCGACAACACUACCUCUGUCUCUAACAACGAAGAAGAAGAAGAAGUUGAUGUCAUAGGCGCCAUGGAGGGGCGAAGAGGAAGCCACAGAAGAGUUCCAAGACGGCAACGAUCGAUGAUUCCCUUGUCGAAGUAGGUCUCUAUUAUGUGGUUUUUCUUUUUGUUUCUUGAUGAUUUGUGUUCCCGUAUCUAAAAUUUCAGGACUUGCUGUAUCCAAUGCCCUUUGUCUUCUGCAAAAGACAGCACUUUUUUCUGUCCACAAUAGAGAGACCACUUAAUGAGUUUCGGCUUCUAACUCACUAGCAUAAAUGAGGGAGAGACCAUUAUAGUGUUACAAGACCAUUAUAGCUUGCAUCUUCUAGGGUGGAUUUCCUGCAAGUGUAUAUUGCCAAAAUGGCCCAUCAUCAGCAAAGAGUGAAAUCAAGUUUACUGAUGAGACUGUCAGUCGUUAUCAUGUUCUGGAAGUCUUUCUUCAACGAGUAUUCGGUAUUGACACCAUCGUAAAACCUCUUCCACCUGCCCUGGCCUACAAUGUUUCCCGUAACUUGAACUUCUUCACACGCAUUUUCACUCAGUUCUUUGCAUUGCAGAUCCAGAAGGUAUUGCAAAUGCCCAGAAAUCGCUUGGGAUAGGACAGGAAGAGAAAGCUCGUUGUGUUCGCUAAAAAAGAAAGAUUAAAGAAAAAAGGCAGUCACUAAUGAACUUUCCUAUCAUGCUUGUGUGUAAUUGAAUUCUCUACCACUAUAUAUGUUGCGUCUAGCCCUGGUUGAAACCAAUGUUGCAGAGUAGAAAUUCAUUAUUAUAUGCCCGAAAA